GAUGAAGAACGCAGCGAAAUGCGAUAAGUAAUGUGAAUUGCAGAAUUCAGUGAAUCAUCGAAUCUUUGAACGCAUCUUGCGCUUCUUGGUAUUCUGAGGAGCAUGCCUGUUUGAGUGUCAUUAAAUUCUCAACUACACUGACUUUGAAUUGGUGUGGCUUGGAUUUGGGGGGAAAAUUGUUGUGGGCUUUUUGUAUAGUCUGCUCCCCUGAAAUUGAUUAGCGGUACCUUUGUGGAACUGUCUACAGGUGUGAUAAUUAUCUACAUCUUAGACAUCUGCUGGAAUGCUGCUUUCUAAACCUUACUUGUAUUGACAAUCUUGACCUCAAAUCAGGUAGGACUACCCGCUGAACUUAAGCAUAUCAAUAAGCGGAGGA
rnacentral:misc_RNA from 1 species